AAAAUGGAAGGAGGGUGAGGGUGCUCUUUAUGAAUAUCACCAAGUUCAUGUUUCGAAUGUAAGUUGAGGGAUGCCUCAACCAGCACACAUCCAGCAUACACCAUAUCUUCAGCUUCUCAUAUCUGAAGAAUCUCGGUACUACUUCAACACCUUUCUAUAUUUGGUGUAGUAUAUAUAUUAGAAUGAUUAUAUGUGAGUGAAUUUU
rnacentral:misc_RNA from 1 species